GGUGAACGCUGGCGGCGUGCUUAAGACAUGCAAGUCGAACGGCAGUCUUCGGACUGUAGUGGCGCACGGGUGAGUAACGCGUAACUGACCUACCCCAAAGUCGCGGAUAACGAUUCGAAAGAAUCGCUAAUACGUGAUGUGCUGUCAGAUUGUGUUCUGCCAGUAAAGAUUGAUUGCUUUGGGAUGGGGUUGCGUUCCAUCAGCUAGUUGGUGGGGUAAAGGCCCACCAAGGCGACGACGGAUAGCCGGCCUGAGAGGGUGGCCGGCCACAGGGGCACUGAGACACGGGUCCCACUCCUACGGGAGGCAGCAGUUAGGAAUCUUCCACAAUGGGCGAAAGCCUGAUGGAGCGACGCCGCGUGAGGGAUGAAGGUCUUCGGAUCGUAAACCUCUGAAUCAGGGACGAAAGACACUUCGGUGGGAUGACGGUACCUGAGUAAUAGCACCGGCUAACUCCGUGCCAGCAGCCGCCGCCGUAA
rnacentral:rRNA from 1 species